UACGAAGGGGGCUAGCGUUGUUCGGAAUUACUGGGCGUAAAGCGCACGUAGGCGGAUAUUUAAGUCAGGGGUGAAAUCCCAGAGCUCAACUCUGGAACUGCCUUUGAUACUGGGUAUCUGGAGUAUGGAAGAGGUAAGUGGAAUUCCGAGUGUAGAGGUGAAAUUCGUAGAUAUUCGGAGGAACACCAGUGGCGAAGGCGGCUUACUGGUCCAUUACU
rnacentral:rRNA from 1 species